GACGAACGCUUGCGGCGUGCUUAACACAUGCAAGUCGAGCGAUGAAGUUCCUUCGGGAAUGGAUUAGCGGCGGACGGGUGAGUAACACGUGGGUAACCUGCCUCAUAGAGGGGAAUAGCCUUUCGAAAGGAAGAUUAAUACCGCAUAAGAUUGUAGUACCGCAUGGUGCAGCAAUUAAAGGAGUAAUCCGCUAUGAGAUGGACCCGCGUCGCAUUAGCUAGUUGGUGAGGUAACGGAUCACGAAGGCGACGAUGCGUAGCCGACCUGAGCAGGGUGAUCGACCACAGUGGGAAGGAGACACGGCCCAGACUCUUACGGGAGGCAGCAGUGGGGAAUAUUGCACAAUGGGGGAAACCCUGAUGCAGCAACGCCGCGUGAGUGAUGACGGUCUUCGGAUUGUAAAGCUCUGUCUUCAGGGACGAUAAUGACGGUACCUGAGGAGGAAGCCACGGCUAACUACGUGCCAGCCGCCGCCGUAA
rnacentral:rRNA from 1 species